UCUAGCACCCAUAUCACCCUGCAACUCACAACUGGCAACCCACUGAAGCUAAGCAGGUGUGGGCAUGGUCAGCACCUGGAUGGGAGACCUCUUGGGAAACACUAAGGUUGCUGCUGGAA
rnacentral:rRNA from 1 species